AGGAACAGAGAAGGAAGUGUGACCAGGGCCCAUAAGAGUCCAAAGUCACGCAAAGGAACCCGACUACGCCACCCAGAGGGAAACUGGGAAAUGUACCCUACUCAAUUA